rnacentral:rRNA from 1 species
GUCCACGCCGUAAACUAUGAAUGCUAGCUAUUGGCGAUACACAGUCAGUGGCACAGAGAAAUCGUUAAGCAUUCCACCUGGGGAGUACGCCGGCAACGGUGAAACUCAAAGGAAUUGACGGGGGGCCCGCACAAGCGGAGGAACAUGUGGUUUAAUUCGAUGAUACGCGAGGAACCUUACCCGGGUUUGAACGCAGGGGGAAUACGGUUGAAAGAUCGUCGCUAGCAAUAGCCGCCUGCGAGGUGCUGCAUGGUUGUCGU